rnacentral:rRNA from 1 species
CAAGAGCGUAUGUAAAAGUUGUUGCAGUUAAAAAGCUCGUAGUUGAACCUUGGGUUUGGUUGGCCGGUCCGCUUUUUUGCGAGUACUGGAUUCAACCGAGCCUUUCCUUCUGGCUAACCAGUCGUUUCGGCGGCUGGCGAACCAGGAUUUUUACUUUGAGAAAAUUAGAGUGUUCAAAGCAGGCAUUAGCUUGAAUAUAUUAGCAUGGAAUAAUAGAAUAGGACGUCAUGGUUCUAUUUUGUUGGUUUCUAGGACCAUCGUAAUGAUUAAUAGGGACGGUCGGGGGCAUCAGUAUUCAGUUGUCAGAGGUGAAAUUCUUGGAUUUACUGAAGACUAACUACUGCGAAAGCAUUUGCCAAGGACGUUUUCAUUAA